rnacentral:rRNA from 1 species
GACGAACGCUGGCGGCGUGCUUAACACAUGCAAGUCGAACGGAAAGGCCCUGCUUUUGUGGGGUGCUCGAGUGGCGAACGGGUGAGUAACACGUGAGUAACCUGCCCUUGACUUUGGGAUAACUUCAGGAAACUGGGGCUAAUACCGGAUAGGAGCUCCUGCUGCAUGGUGGGGGUUGGAAAGUUUCGGCGGUUGGGGAUGGACUCGCGGCUUACCAGCUUGUUGGGGGGGUAGUGGCUUACCAAGGCUUUGACGGGUAGCCGGCCUGGGAGGAUGACCGGACAAAUUGGGACUGAGAUACGGCACAGACUCGUACGGGAGGCAGCAGUGGGGAAUAUUGCACAAUGGGACGAAGCCGUGUGCAGCAACGCCGCGUGCGGGAUGACGGCCUUCUGGUUGAAAACCGCUUUCGCCUGUGACGAAGCGUGACUGACGGUAAUGGGUAAAGAAGCACCGGCUAACUACGUG